ACUCCUACGGGAGGCAGCAGUGGGGAAUAUUGCACAAUGGGCGCAAGCCUGAUGCAGCCAUGCCGCGUGUAUGAAGAAGGCCUUCGGGUUGUAAAGUACUUUCAGCAGUGAGGAAGGUGGGUAUGUUAAUAGCAUACUCAUUUGACGUUAGCUGCAGAAGAAGCACCGGCUAACUCCGUGCCAGCAGCCGCGGUAAUACGGAGGGUGCGAGCGUUAAUCGGAAUUACUGGGCGUAAAGCGCAUGCAGGUGGUUUGUUAAGUCAGAUGUGAAAGCCCGGGGCUCAACCUCGGAAUUGCAUUUGAAACUGGCAAACUAGAGUACUGUAGAGGGGGGUAGAAUUUCAGGUGUAGCGGUGAAAUGCGUAGAGAUCUGAAGGAAUACCGGUGGCGAAGGCGGCCCCCUGGACAGAUACUGACACUCAGAUGCGAAAGCGUGGGGAGCAAACAGGAUUAGAUCCCUGGUAGGCUCUGC
rnacentral:rRNA from 1 species